GAGGACGCUAGUUCCUCACGGGCCGUUGGGCCCGCCUAGGGGAAAGUCCCCGGACCGCUGGCAGAGAGUGCCGGGCGCUGCAAGCGCCCUUGCUCGUCCCCACCUCACGCAGUCACUGCCGAGACGCCCCCAGGCUGAGCGGGUGAGCGCGGGGCGGGCUCUCGUCACGGCCACAGACCCGCAGGGAGUGCGCAGGCGCACUUACAAAACGGGGCUCACUCUCAGGCCAUC
rnacentral:RNase_MRP_RNA from 2 species